rnacentral:rRNA from 1 species
AUUGAACGCUGGCGGCAGGCCUAACACAUGCAAGUCGAACGGUAACAGAAAGCAGCUUGCUGCUUUGCUGACGAGUGGCGGACGGGUGAGUAAUGUCUGGGAAACUGCCUGAUGGAGGGGGAUAACUACUGGAAACGGUAGCUAAUACCGCAUAACGUCGCAAGACCAAAGAGGGGGACCUUCGGGCCUCUUGCCAUCGGAUGUGCCCAGAUGGGAUUAGCUAGUAGGUGGGGUAAAGGCUCACCUAGGCGACGAUCCCUAGCUGGUCUGAGAGGAUGACCAGCCACACUGGAACUGAGACACGGUCCAGACUCCUACGGGAGGCAGCAGUGGGGAAUAUUGCACAAUGGGCGCAAGCCUGAUGCAGCCAUGCCGCGUGUAUGAAGAAGGCCUUCGGGUUGUAAAGUACUUUCAGCGGGGAGGAAGGGAGUAAAGUUAAUACCUUUGCUAAUUGACGUUACCCGCAGAAGAAGCACCGGCUAACUCCGUG